GCGGGUAUCGUAUAGCGGCAUUACCACAGAUUUCCAAUCUGUUGACAGGGGUUCGACUCCCCUUACCCGCU
rnacentral:tRNA from 1 species